CCUACGGGUGGCAGCAGUGAGGAAUAUUGGUCAAUGGCCGGAAGGCUGACCCAGCCAUGCCGCGUGAAGGUCAGUGCCCUAUGGGCGUUAAACUUCUUUUGUGCGGGAGCAAUAAUGGUCACGUGUGGCCAGACGAGAGUACCGUACGAAUAAGCAUCGGGUAACCCCGUUCCAGCGGCCGCGGUAAUACGGGGGAUGCAAGCGUUGUCCGGGUUUAGUGGGUUUAAAGGGUGCGUAGGCUGGGUGGUAAGUCAGCGGUGAAAUGCCCCCGCUCAACGGGGUGAAGUGCCAUUGAUACUGCCUGGCUGGAAUGCGGGUGCCGUGGGAGGAAUGUGUGGUGUAGCGGUGAAAUGCAUAGAUAUCACACAGAACACCGAUUGCGAAGGCAUCUCACGAAUCCGCGAUUGACGCUGAUGCACGAAAGCGUGGGUAUCAAACAGGAUUAGAUACCCGGGUAGUC
rnacentral:rRNA from 1 species